rnacentral:lncRNA from 1 species
CAGGAAUCCUAACGUGUUCUUAGGGUAAAAAUUCAAGAAAGAUGACCUGAGGGCCUAACACGGGGGAGUAACUAUUGUGAAAUACCGAGAAUGUUCUCUAAGACAAAGGCUUAUUUCCCAGGAGAAUCAUUAUCAGAUCCUUGCCCCCAGAGCAGUAGAGGAAGGGCAUUCUUGUCACUCUUUUUUUUUUUUUUUUAAAUUUUUUUUUUAUUGUUUUUUGCCCUAACACCCUUUUUUUUUUCCACUGUACAGCAUGGGGACCCAGUUACACAUACAUAUAUACAUAAUUUUUUUCUCCCAUUGUCAUGCUACAUUGUAAGUAUCUAGAAAUAGUUCUCAGUGCUAUACAGCAGGAUCUCAUUGUAAAUCCAUUCCAUGAGCAAUAGUUCGCAUCCGUUGACCCCAAGCUCCCAAUCCCUCACACUCCCUUCCCCUCCCCCCGUGCAACCACAAAUCUAUUUUCCAAGUCCGUGAUUUUGUUUUCUGUGGAAAGGUUCAUUUGUGCUGUAUAUUAGAUACCAGAUAUGAGUGAUAUAGUAUUUGUCAUUCUCUUUCUGACUUAUUUCACUCAGUAUGAGAGUCUCUAGUUCCACCCACGUUGCUGCAAAUGACAUUAUUUUGUUCUUUUUAUGGCUGAGUAGUAUUCCAUUGUGUAUAUAUACCACAUCUUCCUAAUCCAAUCGUCAAUGGACAUUUGGGUUGUUUCUAUGUCUUGUCUAUUGUGAAUAUUGCUGCAAUGAACAUGCAGUUGCAUGUGUCUUUUUCAAGGAAAGCUUUGUCCAAACAUAUGCCCAAGAGUGGGAUUGCUGGAUCAUAUGGUAGUUCUAUGUAUAGACUUCUAAGCUACCUCCAUACUGUUCUCUAUAGUGGCUGUACCAGCUUACAUUCCCACAACAGUGCAGGAGGGUUCCCUUUUCUUCAUAACCCCUCCAGCCCCUGUUAUUUGUGGACUUAUUAAUGAUGGCCAUUCUUACUGAUGUGAGGUGGUAUCUCCUGGUUGUUUUGAUUUGCAUUUCUCUAAUAAACAGGGAUGUUGAGCAUUUUUUCAUGUGCUUCCCAACAAGCACAUUCUUGUCACUGUUGCUCACACUAUCCUUCCUGUUCUGCCUGAGAGAGGGGAAAGCUACAUAAAAAGAAAACAUGUAAUGGUCAUAGACCAGAGGCAAUAUUCAGUAAAAGACUGAGACUUAAUUGGAAAACUAAUGCUUCCCUCUCAGACACCUUACCUCUUCACCAAUAGAGCUCCAGGGUAAAUAGUAGAUUAUAGAGGAAAGAGAUGUGAGACACAGCUGCACAGAAGGAGUGCUUAGGGAAGCCCCAAACCAAAAGAAUUGAUGAGACAAGAACUUUGGAGGAAUGUAGUUUCUGGAAUAUAUAUAGCUACUGCAUAUAUUAAACAGUGUCCAAAUCCUCGACACAUUAACAUAAGUCUACACACUAAUGGCUCAUUUACCUUAAUCAUUAUCACUUGAAAAACAUGUUUGGCUUUCAACGAAAUAUUACAAGGCACACCAAAAGACAGGAAAAGACAAAGUUUGUGAAGCCAAACAACCAUCAACACAGAGCUUAGAUAUGACAUCAGUGCUGGAAUUAUCAGAGUGGGAAUUUGAAACAAUGAUCAAUAUGUUAAGGGCUAUGAUGGAAAAAGUAGACAACAUGCAAAAAGCAGAUGGGCAAUAUAAGCAUAGACAUAGGAAUUUAGGAAAAUAAUCUGAAAUAAAUGAUGGAAAUAUAAUACAUUGUUAACAAAGAAGGAAAGCAUUUGAUAAACUCACUAACAGGCUCAACAAGACCAAAGAAAACAAAGCUUGGAGAUACUGCCGAUAGAAAUUUAACAAAUAGACAUGCAAAGAAAAAUAAAUAAUGAAACAAAACAGAAUAUCCAACAUAUUUCAAAAGAUAAUUUCUAAAAGUAUUAGAUGUCAUUGGCGCACCAGCAGGAGAAGAAUGAGAGAAUAGAGCUAUGAGUAUUUAAAAUAAUAAUAGCUGAAACAUUUUAAAAAGAAUUAUAGCAGUUCUUUAAAAUCGCUUUCAGAAAAUAGAACAGAAAAAUACUUCCUAACUCAUUCUGUGUGGCCAGAUACAAAAAUCUGACAAAAACAUUACCAAAGAGGAAAACUAUAAACCUAUAUCUCUCAUAAUAUAGAGACAAGAAUUCUCAACAAAAUAUUGAGAAAUUGAAUCUGACACUGUAUAAAAAGAAUUGUACACCAUAAGCAAGUGGGAUUUAUCCCAAGGAUGCAAGGUUGGCACAGUCUUAAAAAUUCAGUUAGUAUAAUCCAUCAAUCACAUCAGCACAUACAGAGAAGGCAUUUGACAAAAAUCCAACACCCAUUCAUGAUUUUUAAAACUCUCAGUAAAUUGGGAAUAGAAAUUUUCUCAUUAGAUAAAAACUAUCUACAAAAAUCCUAUAGCUAGCAUCAUACUUAAUAGUGAGAGACUCAAAUCUUUCCCACUAAGAUCAGGUACAAGGCGGGAUGUACCCUCUCCAAACUCCUUUAAAACAUCAUACUGGAAGAACUAAACAAUCCGUUAAAACAAGAAAAGGAAGUUAAAAAUAUACAAAUAAGGAAUGAAGGAAUAAACUUCCUUGUUCACAGAUGACAUUACUAUUAGAAAAUCUGAAAGUAUAAAAUAAAUUAAUUAAAAGGUAUACAGAUAGAAAAAGAAAUAAAACUUAUUUUAUUUAUAAGUGACAUUUGUCUAUGUAUAAAAUCCAAAAGAAUCAAUAAGCAACUAAUGAGCAAUUACAGCAACAUUAGAGGAUAGAAGGUUAAUGUACAAAUUUAAUCAUUUUCUAAUAUACUAGCAAUAAACCCUUGGGACUUGAAACUAAUAAAAUAAUACCAUUUACAAUAACAGUGAAAAUGAAAUACACGGUAAUAUUUAACAAAAAUUCCAAAGGACCACUAUGUGAAAAACUACAAAAACUGAUAAAAAUAAUCAAUGAAGAUAUCAAUAAGUGGAGAGAUGUUCUAUGUUCCUGGAUUCAGAGAAUCAAUAUUGUUAAGAUGUCAACUCUUCCCAAUUUGAUCUGUAAAUUUAGUGUUCUCGGUCAUAAUCCCAAAAGCUGUUUUGUAGGUAUCCACAAAGUGAUUCUAAUGUUGAUAUGGAAAGACAAAAAUUCUAGAGUAUCUCACACAAUACUGAAGAUGAAGAAGAUAGAUGAAACACCCACACUACCCAAUUUUUAGACAUAUUGUAUGUCAACAGUAACCAAGGCAGCAUAGUGGUAACGAAAGUAUAGACAGAAGACUUGGGUAGGAGACUAUAGAAUAUAUUAGAGAAAUCAGAAAUAGACCAACAUAAAUAUAAUCAAAUCACAUUUGAAGAACAGGCAAUAAUGAUCCAAUGGCAAUAAUACCCCUCUGCUCUAGAUACUUAAUGACAGAGGAUAAUGCACAAUAUAAAAAUAUUAUUCAUAGUAAUUGGAAUGUGGUUAGGUAUUCUCAGAACUUAUACAUGUUUUAUUUAAUUACUAUGACAUCUUGGUAUGUAUUAAUGAUAUUAUUAUUACUCUGAUUAUUAUGGCUUAAGGAACCAAGUCUAAGAAUAGUUAUGUAAUUUAUCCCAUAUUGCACAGUUAAUGGUGGUAUCAUAAUUCAUAUCUAAGAUGGACUAUAUCUACAUUUCAUGCUCUAUAUAUGCCAUUGUAUUUAGUAGCCAAUUAAGAAUUUCCCAUUUUGACUCAGCGGUGAUGAACCUGACUAAUAUCCAUGAGGGUGCAUGUUUGAUAUCUGGCCCUGCUCCCUGGGUUAAGGAUCCUAUGUUGCUGUGAGCUAUGAUGUUAGGUUGCAGAUGCAGUUCGGAUCCUGUGUUGCUGUGGCUGUGGUGUAGGCUGGCAGCUGCAGCUCCAAGCCUGGGACCCAUAACCUGGGAACUUCCAUAUGCCACGGGCACAGCCCUAAAAAAAAAGCCAUUAAGCAUGUAGAUGGAAGUGCAGAAAGGAAAAAAACAAAGUCGUGAAGUAGGACUGUACCCAAGGGCACUCUGGGUCAAACCUUGGGAGCAAAGUAUGAUAAUCAGGAUUUUGAAUCCUGAUGGGUGUUGAGGGCUUAAAAUGAUUCAUACAGGAUGAUUGACUAGUUAAUGUUACUGCUUGAAGUUCAGUAUUGGGGUGGGCCCUUAGCCCAAUAUUAAGGUCACAGAAGAGUGCUUAGCAAAGAGGCGUGGGCACACACAAUACUGGUGUCAUGUACAUAUUUUGAUAUGAAAGAAAGAAAGCUCAUUGGAUAAAACUUAGAAGUAUAGGUGUUGCAUAGUGUGCAAGUUAAAGGCAGAAUUCACUUAUUGCACAGAGCUAUGUGCUGUGUCUGGUAUAGCUAGAUAGUAUGUAGUGUGAAUUAUGCUCCAUGGAAAAGCAAUCCUACAUCUUUAAUUCUCAGCAAACUUCUAGGGAAGGGAGAUAAAUAUUCCAUGUUAAAAUAAUGACCUUGUUAGAUAGUGGGUCUUCCAGAGAAAUGAUUUCUUAUCAGUUUGUUUUGAUAUGACGAUGCUGAGACAUGUGUCCUUGUUAAGCAACUAAGAAAGAAGAAAUCAGUCUAGGAUAUUCAGAUUUGCCUUUCCUAAAAAUAAUGUCUUGAGUCAAAUGCUUACAGCAAGCAAUAGGCCAGUGAAGCCAGAAGGCAGCUACAUACACUCGAUUAGGAUGUGAAUCCAGUAAGUCAUUAAUUUUAUAGCUGGCAUCCUCAUUAUCAUCCUUGGUAAAUUGUUGUAAAAAAUAGAUAUUAGGGACCUCAUAGUAUAGUUAGGAUAUAGAAAAAUCCAGAAAACCUUUGCAUCUAUGGUAACUACAAAAAUAUCCCAAAAGAAAUUAUUAGUCAAAAUGUUUUAUAACCUAAUAAAGAGUAGUGGAUACAAUAAAGCAUUGACUAAGUAAAUUCCAGAAAGAAAUAGUUUAUAUCUCAUGGCAGUUUCCAUUCCUGAAUAGGUUUGCCUGGCUAUAUGUAUACAUGACACAAAGGAGCAGCCUGGCCAAGUUAGUAACAAUGUUCAAAGAAAAGGAGAAACCAUGAGGAUAUUAAUAGUAGCAGGAGCUGGCAGAAUAUGGAAGAGCAUCAUGUAUAAAAAUAAGCAAUGAGGUCUGAACAAUCCACCCAUACAAGGGAGAAGAAAGCAGAGAGAAAUCACAGGAUCCUGUACUUUUUUUCCUCUGCUCUUGAAUUCUAGGAUCUUACUGGAGUUUUAUCCUUUAGGCACUAAAAAUAUCUGAAUAUUGCAGUGCAGAUCUCCCAGUUUGAAUACGUACGAGGUCAAGAAGCUGUUGAGGGCAUAGAAUGUUGAAAGUUGGUCUAAUCACAGGUGAACUCAAUCUAAUUAUAGUUCUGGGCCAUCACUUUUUUUAACACAACUCUAGGAAGAAUCUGAAAAAUUGGCUCUUAACUUCAAUCACAGUAAAGAGAAAAGGGCUUCCAAUUCUGAGAAAGUCAACAAAACAAAAUUACAAUAAUUAUGUCUUUAUUAUUUUGUAAUUUUGGAUUAAAAUUAUGGAAACAUAUAAAAUGUGCAAAGAAGCCUGAAAAGGAACACUUAAACAAUUAAAAACAUUGACAAUAGAAAUAGACUUAUAGAUGAAAUUUACUUAUGAACUUAUUAGGAUUAGCAGAGAAGAUUUUAAUGCACCCAUUAUAAAUAUGUAAAAUAACUUAAUAGAGGGAAUAAUAGAUGAAGAUUUGAAGGUUUCAGGAGAGGAAUAGAAAUUCUAAGUAAGAAAGAGAUAGCAAUUAAAAAAUCAAAAAUUAACUGAGUGGUUUAAGAACAUAUUGAAGACAACAGAGGAGAAAAUCAAUUUAACAAAAAUGUCACAUACUUCCAAGGGGAGAGGAGAAAGAUGCUGGGGUAGAGAAAUCAUUGGAAAUUAGUGACCUGUAUUUUAAAAUUUUGAUGUAUAACAUCAACCAAGAUAUCUGGGAAGCUCUAAAUAUCUAAAGUAGAAUAAAUACAAAGCCAAAGAUAUCCAGGGAUAUCAUACUCAAAUAGCUGAAAACCAAAAUUAAGGUUAAACACACCUAGAGGAAAAAAAAAAAAAAA